GUCACUCGCAGAAAUCUAGAUGGAAGAGGCAGCUUGUCCCCAGUUGGAGCGUUGUUUCUUCACUGCAAUGGUGGCCGCAUUUACCAAGUGAUGUCUCAGCCCUUCAGUCGCAUCCUAAGAGAUUACUGUUUCCAUAGGUGGACCUGCUAGAGGGCUUCACUUUUCCCAGCGCCUAACGCGCAGAUGCCAAGAUUUCCCGGAGGAAAGUGGUGGCAGUUGCUGCUUCCAGGGGCCGUGUCCUCAGCCUGCGAUGUGGAAGACAAAACGAGGUGGCAUUUUCUAAAGGCAGGAGGAGGCCCCCAGGACCCCGCGCUAAGCUGGAAGCUGGCGAGCGUGACUCCUUUAUGGAAAAGAUCUUCUGUCCAACGCCACCAGCGUCUUGCUGGAGGGAGAGCAGCACGUGUAAGUGGAAGAUUGAACAUUACACCGGGACACACGGGGAAACGGCUUUCUUGUCCCAGAGAGAGAUGUAGUCACGUCUUCUUUAGUUCCUACAAUAAUGUUUUGAAUUUCGAUCCCAUGCACAAUGUCGUCUGAUAUUUCAGGUGGGAAUAUUUUGGUUUUUUAAAAGAAUUUUUCUCAGGUUUUGUUUUUAAUGAAAGUAUAGUGGAUUUACAAUGCUGGGCCAAUGUCUGCAGUAUAGCAAGGUGACCCGGUCGUAUAUAUACAUUCCCUUUCUUAUAUUAUCUUCCCUUAUGGUCUAUCCCAAGGGACUGGAUAGAGUUCCCUGUGCUGUACAGUAGGGAGGUGGGGAUGUUUCAGUUUGAAUGUUUUUUUAAAAAAAUAUCUAGUCAGUGUUUUCCAUGUCUGACAUGGUCCAGAGAAGCAGAAUCUUCCAGAUAAAUGUUUGUCACCAUGAUGGCUGCUUAUAAAUCCUUACUCCCUUCCUCUCAUCCAAUUUAACUUGGGAGAGUGGAGACUUCGGUUUUAAAAGUUUUUUUUUUUUUUUUUUUUUCUUUCAGAGUUCCCGUCGUGGCUCAGUGGAAAGAAAUCCAACUAGGAACCUUGAGGUUGCGGGUUCAAUCCCUGGCCUUGCUCAGUGGGUUAAGGAUUUGGCCUUGCCCUGAGCUGUGGUGUAGGUCGCAGAUGCGGCUCGGGAUCUGGCGUGGCUGUGGCUGUGGUGUAGGCCGGCCGCUGUAGCUCUGAUUAGACCCCUAGCCUGGGAACCACUAUAUGUUGCAGGUGCAGCCCUAAAAGGCCAAAAAAAAGUAUUUUUUCUUUGUUAUUCCCCACUUCCUUUUUUUUUUUUUUAAAAUUAGAGUGUAGGUGAUUUACAGUGUUGCAUCAAUUUCUGCUGUGCAGUAUAGUGACCCAGUCAUACGUACAUAUACAUCCUUUGGCUCAUGCCAUCAUGUUCUACCCCAAGAGACUAGAUAUAAUUCCCUGUGCUGCACAGCAGAACUUCAUUGCUUAUCCAUUCAAAUGUAAGAGUUUGCAUCUACCGACCCCAAACUCCCCGUCCAUCCCACUUCCUCCCCUCUCCCCACAGCAACCACAAGUCUGUUCUCUAUGUUUGUGAUGUUUGUUUUGUACAUAGGUUCAUUUGUGCCAUAUUUUAGAUUCCACAUAUAAGUGAUAUCAUAUGGUAUUUGUCUUUCUCUUUCUGACUUCACUUAGUAUGAGAAUCCUAGUUGCAUCCAUUUCGUUCUUUUUUAUGGCUGAGUACUAUUCCAUUGUGUAUACGUAACACAACUUUUAAUCCAUUCAUCUGGUGAUGGACAUUUAAGUUGUUUCCAUGUCUUGGCCAUUGUGAAUAGUGCUGCUGUGAACAUAGGGGUGUACGUAUCUUUUUGAAUUGUAGUUUUGUCCAGAUAUAUGCCUAGGAGUGGGAUUGCUGGAUCAUAUGGUAGUUCUAUAUUUAGUUUUCUGAGGAACCUCCUGCCUUGCUGGGUGGUUAGCUGGCCUCAUUUCGUCAUCUGGGCAGGAGUUGGGGCUGGAGCCAUGAUGGGCAGUGUGCAGAGACCUUGGCAUGGGGUGGGGGGCCGUGCCCUUCCCCCUGCUCUCCAGGGCCAUCCUUGGGGCACAUGAGUUCAGGGAGGGGUCUGUAUCUGUACCUUCUUUCUCUUGGGCUCCUGAACGUGAAACUUUUCUCAGGAGACAACAGACAGAGACUUUUGGCCAAAGUGCACCCUCUAAGUGUGUGUGUGCAGAGUGGAGGGGCCCUUCCAAAAGGUGGCAGGCCUGCCGGCUGUCACCAUUACCCUGUCCAGCCCAGGAAGCCACUCCUGCUCCAGGCUCUGUGCUGUGAGCCUACUGCUCAGAUAUGACCACAUGAGCAUGUCAUCUUUCCAGAGAGGUGUUAUUAGCCAAGGGUUCCCGAACCCCAGGCAGGACUAUCCCAGUGGCCUUUCCUCUGCCCACUGGGAGCCUGCUCCAUGCUGGGCUUGAUCCAAGUGAGGAGGUCAGUUGUCUUCAGACUUGACCUCAGGGAAACGUGUGUGGGAUGGCUGAAGGGAACAUGGAAACCACAUUUUCAAUAAAUAUUCCAUGUACCUGUUAAGAACA
rnacentral:lncRNA from 1 species